GGUACUUUUAUGUGUGUACCUGUUGUGAAAGUGUGGAAUAAGCAAAAGGCAUGUCACCCGCGCUGAGACGAAGCCGUGGCGUUUGAUUGAGCAAUUAAGCGAGCGGUUACGUAAGUUAUUUUCGAUGCAUAUCUUCUUUGUGUCACCUGUUGUCCACCACUUUGAGCAAGUAUUUUUGUUACUUUUCUAAAUUAAACUGUGCCUAAAUUUACCUAAAUUUCUAACAACGCUAUGGUCAACCAUAACCAGGUAUCAUUUUUCUAUCAUAUAGG
rnacentral:lncRNA from 1 species